CAAGGGCUACCAAAUGGGCUAUGAACUUUACAGAAAACAUUCCUCUAGGAUCUAAAAUAUGAUGUAUGGAUGAGAAGGAGUCAUGCCCAGAUCACAAAAUGCUGUGACUAUAAGAUGUACAGGGGCCUUUGGGCUUUGGUGGCUGACAAGCAAACUUCAGACAAGUUUGGAAGUUAAGAGGGAAACAUCCCAGGAUCUGCUGCUUAACCGCAGACUUUCAAAAUACGCUUAUCUUUCCAUAGAAAAUGGAAAAACGUACCAGUUCCAAGACAUACAAGUGGGGUUCCUUUUCAAUUGGCCUAGAUGGUGGACCAGCUCUCCUACAGCUAAUGGGAGUAGCAGUUUUUAGAAAUCAGGCUGUCAGAGAAGAAUUCAUGGAGUUAUAAUAUAUAAUAUUGUCCUAAAACAAUCUUUAUGAUGAAACUGAAAUGUUCUGGGCUCUGUGGCAGACCUGGGAAGUUAAACAUGUCUCUUCUUGGCUA